rnacentral:rRNA from 1 species
AUUGAACGCUGGCGGCAUGCUUUACACAUGCAAGUCGAACGGCAGCGCGGGCUUCGGCCUGGCGGCGAGUGGCGAACGGGUGAGUAAUGCAUCGGAACGUGCCCAGCAGUGGGGGAUAGCCCGGCGAAAGCCGGAUUAAUACCGCAUACGACCUGAGGGUGAAAGCGGGGGACCGAAAGGCCUAGCGCUAUUGGAGCGGCCGAUGUCGGAUUAGCUAGUUGGUGGGGUAAAGGCUUACCAAGGCGACGAUCCGUAGCUGGUCUGAGAGGACGACCAGCCACACUGGGACUGAGACACGGCCCAGACUCCUACGGGAGGCAGCAGUGGGGAAUUUUGGACAAUGGGGGCAACCCUGAUCCAGCCAUGCCGCGUGCGGGAAGAAGGCCUUCGGGUUGUAAACCGCUUUUGUUCGGGAAGAAAUCCUCUGGGCUAAUACCCCGGGGGGAUGACGGUACCGGAAGAAUAAGCACCGGCUAACUACGUG